GACGAACGCUGGCGGCGUGCUUAACACAUGCAAGUCGAACGGAAAGGCUCCGCCUUUGUGGGGUGCUCGAGUGGCGAACGGGUGAGUAACACGUGAGUAACCUGCCCUUGACUUUGGGAUAACCUCUGGAAACUGGGGCUAAUACCGGAUAGGAGCUUCUGCUGCAUGGGGGGGGUUGGAAAAGUUCGUCGGUUGGGGAUGGACUCGCGGCCUAUCAGCUUGUUGGUGGGGUAGUGGCUUACCAAGGCUUUGACGGGUAGCCGGCCUGAGAGGGCGACCGGCCACAUUGGGACUGAGAUACGGCCCAGACUCCUACGGGAGGCAGCAGUGGGGAAUAUUGCACAAUGGGCGAAAGCCUGAUGCAGCGACGCCGCGUGCGGGAUGACGGCCUUCGGGUUGUAAACCGCUUUCGGCUGGGACGAAGCGUGAGUGACGGUAAUUGGUAAAGAAGCACCGGCUAACUACGUG
rnacentral:rRNA from 1 species